AGCGAACGCUGGCGGCAGGCCUAACGCAUGCAAGUCGAACGGAGUCUUCGGACUUAGUGGCGGACGGGUGAGUAACACGUGGGAACGUACCUUUUGGUUCGGAACAACUCAGGGAAACUUGAGCUAAUACCGGAUGAGCCCUUAGGGGGAAAGAUUUAUCGCCGAAAGAGCGGCCCGCGUUAGAUUAGCUAGUUGGUGAGGUAAAGGCUCACCAAGGCUACGAUCUAUAGCUGGUCUGAGAGGAUGAUCAGCCACACUGGGACUGAGACACGGCCCAGACUCCUACGGGAGGCAGCAGUGGGGAAUCUUGCGCAAUGGGCGAAAGCCUGACGCAGCCAUGCCGCGUGAAUGAUGAAGGUCUUAGGAUUGUAAAAUUCUUUUACCAGGGACGAUAAUGACGGUACCUGGAGAAAAAGCCCCGGCUAACUUCGUGCCAGCCGCCGCUGUAACAC
rnacentral:rRNA from 1 species